rnacentral:rRNA from 1 species
UCGAACGCUGGCGGAAUGCCUUACACAUGCAAGUCGAAGCGGCUAGCGCGGGGCAACUCCGGCUGGCCGAGCUGGCGAACGGGUGAGUAAUAGCAUCGGAACAUGUCCCGAUGUCGUGGGGGAUAGCCCGGCGAAAAGCCGGAAAGCUGCUAAUACCGCAUACGACCUCCCGAGAUGGGAAAGUGGGGGACCGCAAGGCCUGCGCGAACGGAUUGGGUUGGCCGAUGGUCCGAAUUAGCUAGUUGGUGGGGUAAAGGCCUACCAAGGCUAUGAUCUGUAGCUGGUCUGAGAGGAUGAUCAGCCACACUGGGACUGAGACACGGCCCAGACUCCUACGGGAGGCAGCAGUGGGGAAUUUUGGACAAUGGGGGCAAGCCCGAUCCAGCAAUUGCCGCGUGAGUGAAGAAGGCCUUCGGGUUUGUAAAGCUGCUUUUGUCCGGAACGAAAACGGUGCUGGCUUAAUACCUCGCGGGCCUACUGACGGUACCGUAAGAAUAAGCACCGGCUAACUACGUGCCAGCAGCCUGCGGUAAAUACGUAGGGUGCGAGCGUUUAAUCGGAAUAUACUGGGCGUAUAAAGCGUGCGCAGGCGGUUUAUGUAAGCCAGAGGUGAAAUCCCCGGGCUUAACCCUGGGAACUGGCAUUUGUGGACUGCAUAGCUAGGAGUACGGCAGAGGGAGACUGGAAAUUCCUGGUGUAGCAGUGAAAAUGCGUAGAUAUGCAGGAGGAAUACCGAUGGCGAAGGCAAGGUCCCCUGGGCCUGUACACUGACGCUCAUGCACGAAAAGCGUGGGGAGCAAACAGGAUUAGAUACCCUGGUAGUCCACGCCCCUAAACGAUGUCAACUGGUUGUUGGGGUUUUGACACUGACUCAGUAACGAAAGCUAAACGCGUGAAGUCGACCGCCUGGGGAGUACGGCCGCAAGGUUGAAAACUCAAAGGAAAUUGACGGGGACCCGCACAAGCGGUGGAUUAUGUGGAUUAAUUCGAUGCAACGCGAAAAAAAACCUUACCUACCCUUGACAUGUCCGGAAGGCUUGCAGAGAUCAGGCUGGUGCCUCGAAAAGGGAACCGUAACACAGGUGCUGCAUGGCUGUCGUCAGCUCGUGUCGUGAGGAGAUGUUGGGUUUAAGUCCCGCAACGAGCGCAAACCCUUGUCAUUAGUUGCUACGAAUUCAGUUGGGCACUCUAAUGGAGACUGCCGGUGACAAAACCGGAGGAAGGUGGGGAUGACGUCAAGUCCUCAUGGCCCUUAUAGGGUAGGGCCUUACACACGUAAUACAAUGGCUGCGUACAGAGGGUUGCCAAGCCGGCGACGGGGGAGCCAAUCCCUUAAAAAGCCAGUCGUAGUCCGGAUUGCAGUCUGCAACUCGACUGCAGUGAAGUCGGAAAUCGCUAGUAAUCGCGGAUCAGCAAUGUCGCGGUGAAUACGUUUCCCGGGUCUUGUACACACCGCCCGUCACACCAUGGGGAGUGGGUUUCAGCCAGAAGCCGGUCGCCUAAACCGCAAGGGGGGCGCCUACCACGGGGGAGAUUCGUGACUGGGGUG